GGGGAUGUAGCUCGUACGGUAGAGCACUUACUUUGCAUUCAAGGGGUACGGGGAUCGAUACACCGCAUUUCCA
rnacentral:tRNA from 1 species